CACGUAGGGGGCAAGCGUUGUCCGGAUUUAUUGGGCGUAAAGAGCUCGUAGGUGGUUCGAUAAGUCGGGUGUGAAACCUCCAGGCUCAACCUGGAGACGCCACCCGAUAGUGUCGUGACUAGAGUCCAGUAGGGGAGCGUGGAAUUCCUGGUGUAGCGGUGAAAUGCGCAGAUAUCAGGAGGAACACCAGCGGCGAAGGCGGCGCUCUGGGCUGGCACUGACACUGAGGAGCGAAAGCGUGGGGAGCGAACAGG
rnacentral:rRNA from 1 species